rnacentral:rRNA from 1 species
UUGCUCUUCAACGAGGAAUUCCUAGUAAGCGCAAGUCAUCAGCUUGCGUUGAUUACGUCCCUGCCCUUUGUACACACCGCCCGUCACUACUACCGAUUGAAUGGCUUAGUGAGGCUUCCGGAUUGGUUUAAAGAAGGGGGCAACCUCAUCUUGGAACUGAAAAGCUAGUCAAACUCGGUCAUUUAGAGGAAGUAAAAGUCGUAACAAGGUCUCCGUAGGUGAACCUGCGGAGGGAUCAUUACACAAAUAUGAAGGCGGGCUGGAACCUCUCGGGGUUACAGCCUUGCUGAAUUAUUCACCCUUGUCUUUUGCGUACUUCUUGUUUCCUUGGUGGGUUCGCCCACCACUAGGACAAACAUAAACCUUUUGUAAUUGCAAUCAGCGUCAGUAACAAAUUAAUAAUUACAACUUUCAACAACGGAUCUCUUGGUUCUGGCAUCGAUGAAGAACGCAGCGAAAUGCGAUAAGUAGUGUGAAUUGCAGAAUUCAGUGAAUCAUCGAAUCUUUGAACGCACAUUGCGCCCUUUGGUAUUCCAAAGGGCAUGCCUGUUCGAGCGUCAUUUGUACCCUCAAGCUUUGCUUGGUGUUGGGCGUCUUGUCUCUAGCUUUGCUGGAGACUCGCCUUAAAGUAAUUGGCAGCCGGCCUACUGGUUUCGGAGCGCAGCACAAGUCGCACUCUCUAUCAGCAAAGGUCUAGCAUCCAUUAAGCCUUUUUUUCAACUUUUGACCUCGGAUCAGGUAGGGAUACCCGCUGAACUUAAGCAUAUCAAUAAGCGGAGGA